UGGGGCAAAUUUGAAAUUGAAGUACUCUGCUUUGUACUACAUAAGAUCUUCUUCAUUCUUCGCAUAAAUUCUAGAAUCGAUUCUAUCAAGAGAUCUAUUCUCUCUCGCUUCUACUUAUCUACUUCUGCCUUCGUUAUUGCUCCCUAAUUCUGGCCAUCGUCUUAAAUUGCAGAGCUACAGUGUGAAUAUCAACAAUUGUAUCUGAAUUGCACAUGCAUCUUUGAAAAUAGAAUCAAAUUUGUGUAUGUGUUAAUUUUUCUAUUCUUUUGGAGAGCUGGCUGAAAUUUAAAUACAAGAGUUUUCUUUAAAAUUCAAUUUCCGGUCUUCUUUUAAAUUGCUAAACCAAUCCUUUAUUUUGGUUCCAGCCCAAAACAUAAAUUCUCCUCCAACUAGCCCAACAUUUAAUCCAGACCAAGCCCAUUUUCCUGUAAACACCCCAAGCCUUAUUUUCUUAGUCAUUUUCGUCCAAAAACACAAAACCAAAAAUAACCCUAAUCUCUAAAUCUGAUACGCCGCCUCCACAAACCAGCUGUCUCUCAUCCAUUUUUGGCAAAACUUCAACGCGUCAUCGCGUUUCCAGACCAUGUUCGCCCAUUUGGGGUAAAACCUUUGAUGAAAGUUGUCUUCUUCUCCAAAAGCAACGGUAAUUUCACGUUCCCUUUCUCUUUUUCUUUUCUUUUUUUAGUUUCGGGUACAAAGAUCAUUGAUGGUCUUUGUCACGAUUUGGAAAUUCAAAAUUCGAAUCCGGAUUCCAAAUAACCAAUUUGGAAUCCGAAAAUAAAAUGUCCCACACCGUUUGAUUAUUUUGAAACCCUAGAAUUGGGGGUUCUAUAAAUAGAACCCAUUUCCUCAUUUUCCAGACCACGGUGGAAUACCCCCCAAAUCUUUGAAUUUUCGAUUUUCUCAACUAAAAAUUGAGUAUUCCUUGAAUUUUCGGAAUAGUUCAAAUUUUUAUCUUUGUUAUCUAAGUUCAGUGGUGAAAUCGAUCUUCGACUCUCGUCGCCUGAGUCGCUGCUCCGCAACAGGUGUCAGCAGCUUUUGGUACUUCCUUGUGUUAAACAUACUGUUCUCAAGGAAUUUUGAAAGAUCGUGGAUUUCUUUGUUAUAUGAUAUAGUAUAAAUGAGUUACAAAUGUGAACUUGAUUCUAUCUCAGCGUGUACUAUAUGCUCAUUCAAUCAGUUGCAUAAAUUUCAAUGUAG